AUUGAACGCUGGCGGCAGGCCUAACACAUGCAAGUCGAGCGGAUGAAGGGAGCUUGCUCCUGGAUUCAGCGGCGGACGGGUGAGUAAUGCCUAGGAAUCUGCCUGGUAGUGGGGGAUAACAUCCGGAAACGGGCGCUAAUACCGCAUACGUCCUGAGGGAGAAAGUGGGGGAUCUUCGGACCUCACGCUAUCAGAUGAGCCUAGGUCGGAUUAGCUAGUUGGUGGGGUAAAGGCCUACCAAGGCGACGAUCCGUAACUGGUCUGAGAGGAUGAUCAGUCAUACUGGAACUGAGACACGGUCCAGACUCCUACGGGAGGCAGCAGUGGGGAAUAUUGGACAAUGGGCGAAAGCCUGAUCCAGCCAUGCCGCGUGUGUGAAGAAGGUCUUCGGAUUGUAAAGCACUUUAAGUUGGGAGGAAGGGCAGUAAGUUAAUACCUUGCUGUUUUGACGUUACCAACAGAAUAAGCACCGGCUAACUUCGUG
rnacentral:rRNA from 1 species